UAAAUAAUAUGAAGGAAAAAUAGUACUUAAAUGGUACUUGGGGCUUCUAAUUUUAAAUGGGUCCUAUUACAAUAGAGAUAUGUGUGAGUGUGUGUGUGUGUGUGUGUGUGUGUGUGUGUAUGGGUUUAAACCCAGGGGUGCUGAACCACUGAGUCACAGCCAAAGUCUUUAU
rnacentral:sRNA from 1 species